GACGUAGGGCGCGAGCGUUGUCCGGAUUUACUGGGCGUAAAGAGCGCGCAGGCGGUCGCUCAAGUCGCGUGUGAAAGCCCCCGGCUCAACUGGGGAGGGUCACGCGAUACUGAUCGACUGGAAGGCAGGAGAGGGUAGUGGAAUUCCCGGUGUAGUGGUGAAAUGCGUAGAUAUCGGGAGGAACACCAGUGGCGAAGGCGACUACCUGGCCUGUUCUUGACGCUGAGGCGCGAAAGCUAGGGGAGCAAACGGG
rnacentral:rRNA from 1 species